rnacentral:rRNA from 1 species
AUUGAACGCUGGCGGCAGGCUUAACACAUGCAAGUCGAGCGGUAGCACAGGGGAGCUUGCUCCCUGGGUGACGAGCGGCGGACGGGUGAGGAAUGUCUGGGAAACUGCCUGAUGGAGGGGGAUAACUACUGGAAACGGUAGCUAAUACCGCAUAACGUCGCAAGACCAAAGAGGGGGACCUUCGGGCCUCUUGCCAUCAGAUGUGCCCAGAUGGGAUUAGCUAGUAGGUGGGGUAAUGGCUCACCUAGGCGACGAUCCCUAGCUGGUCUGAGAGGAUGACCAGCCACUCUGGAACUGAGACACGGUCCAGACUCCUACGGGAGGCAGCAGUGGGGAAUAUUGCACAAUGGGCGCAAGCCUGAUGCAGCCAUGCCGCGUGUGUGAAGAAGGCCUUCGGGUUGUAAAGCACUUUCAGCGAGGAGGAAGGUGGUGAGCUUAAUACGUUCAUCAAUGGACGUUACUCGCAGAAGAAGCACCGGCUAACUCCGU